UUUGGAUCCACACAUUUCCCCUUUCCUUUUUCUGCUUCUUUUUCUGAACAAUUUUAUGGAUUAUGCUGUAUAAAAUAUUUGCAAUAGGUCAAAAGAGAUGCAACCAUAUUUAUAAGAAAAGGACAAGUUAAGAAAUACUUGCGACUUCAGUUUUGUGACCAAUUUUAUUUUUGAAAGAUGGCUACUAUACUAUUCCCAUCUCACUUGCUCAUCUGCAAUAUAAUUUUGCCACUAUCCCAUUAAGAGUUAAAGUCUAAUUUCCUUCAUCUUAAAACUCUAUACCUGUCUUAGUGACUUGUUUAUGUCUAUACAAUAGUAGCAGAAGUGACAAUGCUUGAUAUUAGAGGGUUCUGUCUUGAUAUUUUGGAAUGUACUUUCUCUGGACAGUAUCUUGGAAGCUAAUUGAAAUUUUGCGUGAAGUUCAAUUUGUGUGAAGAAGCCACACACAGGUGCUCAGGUUGACAGGCCCUGCUCGGCCCAAGCAAUCAGCCAAGGCAUCAGACAUACCUUAAUCCUGUCAAGACUGUGAUCCCUUCUGGCUCAUCCCUCUCCAUUCACUGAAUGAUUUAGCCAGACGAUGAUAAGGGCAUUUAUUUAUUGAGAUCUUACACCACCGGUAACUAUCCUUCCUCUGUGCAUGGUAUGUGAGUCCAUGAAAAUUUUGAAGAAGACUCAAAACUAUAUUCACAGGAGUACAGAAAAAUGUCUCCCUGUGAACUGUUGCUCUGUCAGAAAUCUGAGCCGUGUCUCGCUGCAGCUGGUCCCACUAGGAUAUUAUUUCAUAGUUUACCUUGCCCCCAGUACAGAAGCCUGCAUCAGUAGAAAGAUGGUGACUAAAAGAAGCAUAUCCUAAUA